AAUAGUUCCCAUCCUGAGUGACACUCAGUAUUUUUCCUCGUACUCCAUAUGAAGGGAAGGUUUCCCAGCUAACUGCUGCUUGCUUUAUCAUUAUCAUCGAUUUGUAGAGUUCCGCGUCUAGAUAUUAGGCUAGCUUGUCGAUUGCUUGUUGUUGCUGGCUGUCGAUAAGGUAGAACGUUGUUUCUCUGUGGAGUGAUAGUAGCAAUGGAUAAUGUGAGUGUCGUGUCGUUGAAUGAUUAUGGGUCGUAACAAGGGAAUAUUCGUUUCGGCUAAGAUUGAACUGGCAAUCUUGGCGACUGGUGACGUGGAGUAGCAACGUAUCGCAGCGAUUUGCAAGAGCGUGGGAGUGGAGAGCGUUGCUGUCAAAGAAGAGACAAGUGGCUUUGAUUAGCAAUGAUUGCGUGAGAGCUCGUUACGACAUGGAUAGUCAGCUGAGAGUUUUUUUGUAUCUGAUGGAAACCUUCGUGCAAAUACGUGGUCUGAGCAUAAAUGGCCAAGAAGCAGACAUUAGUUUGCCCAUUUUCGAACCAGAAAAUUUACCGGAAGUCAACUAAAAACACAACAGUUUGAUUGGAUCAUUUCUGAUGACGACAGAAUUUAGCCGAUUGGACGAGACGACCGGAAGUCUCCCACAACUGUGCCACAAUCCCUGAACGUUGAGAGGAUGUAUAGAUACUAAUCAAAGUGACAAAGGGUUUUUUUAACCGAAGGACUUUUGAUGGCUUACAUUAUUCACGGUACCAUAAAGUCCUAUGACUGUCGAGGGGAUUCAGUUCAGCUGCCUUGCCAUAAGAUAAACCAUCAUGCCCAACAUCCAGGAAUAUUGCAGACUUGGCAUACUUAAACAGCUGGAUCUCGUCUUCUUAUACAUCCAGACGUACAGUAUAAAUCAAUUAAUGAUGGUGUGUAUGUGUUUCGAAUGCUAAUAGCUAGAAUUCCAGUUAUCAUAUAGCCCAAACAGACACGGUUUGAAGCCAGAAACAGAGAAUACUUUAAUGGAUAAAGUCUUGAAUUCCAUUAGGAAGCAACACUGAAUUCAUCUAAUUUGCUGUUUCGCGUGACCUUUCCGAAGCUAAUGGCGUCUUCGAUCGUUUUAAGUGGCAUAAUCCUUCAAAUGGCUGCUACGGAUUGAUAAAACAGAACGUUGAAGGACAGUUUCGUGAUUGCUUGAAUUCAGAUGUUUCUAUCGCUAUCUCAACACUGACAUGGUAUACGACAGGCGGAGACAGAUUUACCGGAUAAACAUUUGGCAUUUCGCAGGAAGCAAUUAAAUACUGGAUUUGUCUGAUUUGUGGCAGUAAUGAACGCAAAUGGGUGGAACGUUUAAGCUAAUAAAUCGUAUUGAUCGGUUUGCUUUUUCGGCUUGCCUUGCGAAUCCUUUCCCGGUCGUUUGAAGUGACUGAAUUCUUUCAUGGAUACGCGCCGAGCAAUGUCUAUGAGUGAGGAUGGUACAUGGUGAUAUUCUUCCAGUGGUUUCGGGAUACACGUAAUAAUAUUCAUUGCCACAUUCCAGAAAGCACUAACAUCUCCAAUCGGUUUUGAUGCUAACACAGCCAUGAAUAUUUUGACGCUAACCCAUACUGUCUUGUAUACAGGAUGUGACUAAAGAAACCCACCGUCAUUUCAGGAUUUGGAUUCAUCCUCUGUAUAUUUAGAUCUUUGUAGCAAAAUAGUUCGACGACAGACUAUUUGCUAAAUGGAAGGUUCAGCGUUAUAACAUGUGGUGCAUUCUAAACCAAAGACAUUAUCUGGUAGAUGAAAGAUAUUAUUAGAGUACCAGUAUUAAAGGGCAUCUUGGGGACGUUAGAGUUUGAGGACUUUAUUCUUAAUGUGAUAGCAUAUAUAUAUAUAUAUAUAUAGUAUUACUAUUAGUCUGAUGAAAUGAAUGACAACAAUCGCAAGGUACAGCAUUAUGCUGGCCUGGUGCAGGUCUCCACUAGUAUCUUCAUCCUUGGGGACGCCAUGGCCAUGACCAUCUUAGAAGCCUGGGGACACGCGACAGGCAUCGCCUACCUCUGCGCAGCCAGCUCCUUGGUCUGCGGGGCAAUUGGACUGAAAUGCAGCAAGACUCCUACGUUGCGAUUCAGACAAUGUAGCCACGCACUCUCUUUUAUCAAUAUCGGAACUUUUUAUGGUUUUGGUAUGGUAAUGUUAGGGACAUUUGGGUUUUUGCUAGAUCAUAAACGCCGUUAUCCGUUGACAUUAUUACUCGCGCAUAUGGCAUAUACGUUAUUCGGCCUGGUCAAUAUAUGUUGCGCGAUGAUGCAAGCAAAAUCUGUUGGUCUGAAGCCAUUAUUUUGCCAGAACUAUCCGCGGAGGUAUGAUGCUUACGAGGUGAGCGCACCUCCGCCUAGCGUAGAGAACCAUCAUGACGGCCGUUUCUGUAUGUGUCAUCUCUCGGCUCAUCCGUCUGAUCUCACUGUUCAGGAUUACCCCACCCAACUCCAGGUGAUGCUUCCAGUCAGCCCGGACGGGACUGUCUACCUAGACGCACCACUCACCAGCGUCGACGUCAUUGCUUUUGACCGGCGACCGGCCUCCACGCCCCCUCCUCCAUACGAUGAGAUAGUCGCAAACCAGACCGUGCACAACACCACCGAUCCUCCCCCUGCCUACUCGGACAUUGCGAGCCAUGAUGAACACGCACAUGAAAUCGAAAGCGACGGAGGAGAGGAUGAAUUAGAGGCUAGGCUGCCACUGAAUCCCCAGCAGCACUUAAUACAUAACGACAACAACAAUACGAACCAGUUACGGAAUUCCUGCGAGGACACCGAAUGUGCCGAUACCCCUCUUGUGGACAAUCAGGACAAUGGUCACGAGAUCAGUGACAGUAACAAUAAUAGUGACGUUAUCAAUAUGACAGUCAGAUAAUGGCAAACUUAGAAGAAAAAAAAGUAUUAAACGUUGUAUUUUGCAGAAUGAAAUUAUCUGUACCUUAUGUACUAGUCUAUUCAGUGAAGCUUUUAGCAUUUUUGAGUCUUGGCCUUUUCCUCUAAAGGGGACAUGACGAGGAAAAAAAUGUUUUCGGCGUCACUCUCAGAAAACUGGGCUACUCAGGUCAGAACGAAACUCAAUUUCGUUUAGAACACAAAACUGGUCGAUCUCAUGAGGCCGGCACCUCAUACAUUUCUUCUCUAAUUAGAAUGUAGAACAGUGCCUGGCCCACUUUGAUUACGUCUCUCUAAGAAGUAGGCUAGAGGUUUUAGAGCUUUUGAUAAACCUUUUAAAUGGUUUUUCGGUCAACACAAAUAUCCACCCGUAGAGGAGAGUAAAAUCCUCAGAGGUUCCUCGGAAUCUCAAAAACCAUUAAGGGUUUCAAUCUUGACCCUAGAGACGCUAAUUUCGUUCCUUUUUUAAUUCCGGCACUGUGCGAGUUUGUAGGGGGUUUGCAUUUCAGCACUCUCCAAAGCAGACAUAGUCUUCAAGCAUACUCUCUCUGCCUGUAAUAGCUUCCAUGUUGUAUAAGCCACUGUACAUAGAUAGCGAUCGCGCAUUACGGCCAAAGCCACAGAUUCUUUCUCACUUGGGAGAUAAAAUUACCAAGACAUGAUGUCGUUUACAAUAAAACACGUUCAACCUCAA